AGAUUGCUCUUACACUGUCUCUCUCCUCCCAUUUUCACUCCGUCCCUCUCUCCUCCUCACUCGUUCACUGGGGCAGAGCGUGUGCCGGAUUGAUACUGAUGCGCAACAUGGGGACGAUUCAUACUUAAGGGGGAUUUCAAAACAGAGGAGUGGCAACCCACAGUGUCUGCAGUAACAGCAUGGGGGUGGUGUAGCCGCGGAGCUGCGGGCCUCUGUUCCUGCCUGCAGGCCAUGCACUCGUCACUGAGCUUCUGUCCUCUCACCGAAUGGCCCACAGUCCGACUGACAACCCUACAAUCACAGCCAUCGCAGUGCAGGA